AAAAGCUGCUUGUUAGCACCAAUGCUAAUCUGAAAAAAUUGAUGCUAACACUCUGUGAAGUAGAAAAAAGAAAGAACUUGGGGAUUUUCCUAUCUCCUUUUACUUUUGGUUUCACAGGAAGCACCGUCCCACUCACCACUCGUGUCUGCACAGAGCAGAGCACUGUGUGUGCUGUCCCCAGGACCACGCUGCCUGCCAAGACCUCUGCCCACUGCCACCAGCACUAUGUCAAGCUCAAGCAGCAGUUCGGAGAAAACAAUUGAGAUGAAAAAUUUCCUUCUACACGAUGUCCUGCCUGAUCAUGAACGUAUUUUUAUGGAGGUACCAGAGAACAGCAUAAAGAUUGGGGACAUAGUGCUUUUCAACAUGGAGUCCAGCAGCAGUACUUCAACCAUCUUCAAGCACGCAACUGUCUAUUGUGGGGAGGGGGAGGUCAUCCACUUCCAGAAUAUCGAAAAAUCAAGUAAAGGGCGAAUAAGCAAAGAAGGAUUCCUGAUUAUGAGACAUCAGAGGGGGAAAUGCAAGGUUCUCAGGAAAAGGGAGGGGUUCAACCAUGAGACGUUCAAGAAGAAAGUCAAGGAGCUGAUGAACAGCACAGCCAAUUACAACUUAGUGAACAACAACUGCAUCAACUUUGCUCUCUAUCUGCUGGAUGUGGGGGAUUUCAGCUUUCAGUCCCACAACGAGAUCGUCUGAGAGGUGCCCAGAGGCUCGUACCCCAGCACACACGCCCAGAGGAGCUUUGUCCCCACAAUUCAUCUUUCCACACGUCUGCUUCCUUCAAAAGAUGACCUUUCUGUAGGCGUUCCUUUCCAUCUUUUUGCACUGGAUCAUUUAAUAGUCGGCUCUCAGCACCCCCUGCACAGGGGUACAAAUACUAACCAGCUGCUGUAUUGACUAUUUCCACUUGAAGACUGCCUGUUUUCACUGCCUUACUCUGUGUUGUUCAAAUAAUCAUAACAUUCAGAGUAAUUUGCAAAUAAGAACUGCCUAUCAAUAAUAGUGCUUAUCUGUGUAUAACAAUUCUUAUCAGUGACUUCUUGUACUACUAAUAUCUAUAGCCAAAUAAUAGUAUCCAAGGUAAUGGUAUCUCAAGUAAUUACAAUAAACAAUUGCUAUUCUUCUUAUACUACUAAUAGCUAUAUGCAAAUAAUAGUAUCCCAGAUAAUAGCAUCUCAAAAAAUUAUAAUAAAAAAUAAUAACCCAAAG
ensembl:lncRNA